rnacentral:rRNA from 1 species
AGCGUACACGGUGGAUGCCCUGGCAGUCAGAGGCGAUGAAGGACGUGCUAAUCUGCGAUAAGCGUCGGUAAGGUGAUAUGAACCGUUAUAACCGGCGAUUUCCGAAUGGGGAAACCCAGUGUGUUUCGACACACUAUCAUUAACUGAAUCCAUAGGUUAAUGAGGCGAACCGGGGGAACUGAAACAUCUAAGUACCCCGAGGAAAAGAAAUCAACCGAGAUUCCCCCAGUAGCGGCGAGCGAACGGGGAGCAGCCCAGAGCCUGAAUCAGUGUGUGUGUUAGUGGAAGCGUCUGGAAAGGCGCGCGAUACAGGGUGACAGCCCCGUACACAAAAAUGCACAUGCUGUGAGCUCGAUGAGUAGGGCGGGACACGUGGUAUCCUGUCUGAAUAUGGGGGGACCAUCCUCCAAGGCUAAAUACUCCUGACUGACCGAUAGUGAACCAGUACCGUGAGGGAAAGGCGAAAAGAACCCCGGCGAGGGGAGUGAAAAAGAACCUGAAACCGUGUACGUACAAGCAGUGGGAGCACAGAGCAAUCUGUGUGACUGCGUACCUUUUGUAUAAUGGGUCAGCGACUUAUAUUCUGUAGCAAGGUUAACCGAAUAGGGGAGCCGAAGGGAAACCGAGUCUUAACUGGGCGUUAAGUUGCAGGGUAUAGACCCGAAACCCGGUGAUCUAGCCAUGGGCAGGUUGAAGGUUGGGUAACACUAACUGGAGGACCGAACCGACUAAUGUUGAAAAAUUAGCGGAUGACUUGUGGCUGGGGGUGAAAGGCCAAUCAAACCGGGAGAUAGCUGGUUCUCCCCGAAAGCUAUUUAGGUAGCGCCUCGUGAAUUCAUCUCCGGGGGUAGAGCACUGUUUCGGCAAGGGGGUCAUCCCGACUUACCAACCCGAUGCAAACUGCGAAUACCGGAGAAUGUUAUCACGGGAGACACACGGCGGGUGCUAACGUCCGUCGUGAAGAGGGAAACAACCCAGACCGCCAGCUAAGGUCCCAAAGUCAUGGUUAAGUGGGAAACGAUGUGGGAAGGCCCAGACAGCCAGGAUGUUGGCUUAGAAGCAGCCAUCAUUUAAAGAAAGCGUAAUAGCUCACUGGUCGAGUCGGCCUGCGCGGAAGAUGUAACGGGGCUAAACCAUGCACCGAAGCUGCGGCAGCGACGCUUAUGCGUUGUUGGGUAGGGGAGCGUUCUGUAAGCCUGUGAAGGUGUGCUGUGAGGCAUGCUGGAGGUAUCAGAAGUGCGAAUGCUGACAUAAGUAACGAUAAAGCGGGUGAAAAGCCCGCUCGCCGGAAGACCAAGGGUUCCUGUCCAACGUUAAUCGGGGCAGGGUGAGUCGACCCCUAAGGCGAGGCCGAAAGGCGUAGUCGAUGGGAAACAGGUUAAUAUUCCUGUACUUGGUGUUACUGCGAAGGGGGGACGGAGAAGGCUAUGUUGGCCGGGCGACGGUUGUCCCGGUUUAAGCGUGUAGGCUGGUUUUCCAGGCAAAUCCGGAAAAUCAAGGCUGAGGCGUGAUGACGAGGCACUACGGUGCUGAAGCAACAAAUGCCCUGCUUCCAGGAAAAGCCUCUAAGCAUCAGGUAACAUCAAAUCGUACCCCAAACCGACACAGGUGGUCAGGUAGAGAAUACCAAGGCGCUUGAGAGAACUCGGGUGAAGGAACUAGGCAAAAUGGUGCCGUAACUUCGGGAGAAGGCACGCUGAUAUGUAGGUGAAGUCCCUCGCGGAUGGAGCUGAAAUCAGUCGAAGAUACCAGCUGGCUGCAACUGUUUAUUAAAAACACAGCACUGUGCAAACACGAAAGUGGACGUAUACGGUGUGACGCCUGCCCGGUGCCGGAAGGUUAAUUGAUGGGGUCAGCGCAAGCGAAGCUCUUGAUCGAAGCCCCGGUAAACGGCGGCCGUAACUAUAACGGUCCUAAGGUAGCGAAAUUCCUUGUCGGGUAAGUUCCGACCUGCACGAAUGGCGUAAUGAUGGCCAGGCUGUCUCCACCCGAGACUCAGUGAAAUUGAACUCGCUGUGAAGAUGCAGUGUACCCGCGGCAAGACGGAAAGACCCCGUGAACCUUUACUAUAGCUUGACACUGAACAUUGAGCCUUGAUGUGUAGGAUAGGUGGGAGGCUUUGAAGUGUGGACGCCAGUCUGCAUGGAGCCGACCUUGAAAUACCACCCUUUAAUGUUUGAUGUUCUAACGUUGACCCGUAAUCCGGGUUGCGGACAGUGUCUGGUGGGUAGUUUGACUGGGGCGGUCUCCUCCUAAAGAGUAACGGAGGAGCACGAAGGUUGGCUAAUCCUGGUCGGACAUCAGGAGGUUAGUGCAAUGGCAUAAGCCAGCUUGACUGCGAGCGUGACGGCGCGAGCAGGUGCGAAAGCAGGUCAUAGUGAUCCGGUGGUUCUGAAUGGAAGGGCCAUCGCUCAACGGAUAAAAGGUACUCCGGGGAUAACAGGCUGAUACCGCCCAAGAGUUCAUAUCGACGGCGGUGUUUGGCACCUCGAUGUCGGCUCAUCACAUCCUGGGGCUGAAGUAGGUCCCAAGGGUAUGGCUGUUCGCCAUUUAAAGUGGUACGCGAGCUGGGUUUAGAACGUCGUGAGACAGUUCGGUCCCUAUCUGCCGUGGGCGCUGGAGAACUGAGGGGGGCUGCUCCUAGUACGAGAGGACCGGAGUGGACGCAUCACUGGUGUUCGGGUUGUCAUGCCAAUGGCACUGCCCGGUAGCUAAAUGCGGAAGAGAUAAGUGCUGAAAGCAUCUAAGCACGAAACUUGCCCCGAGAUGAGUUCU